AUGCCCCAGAACAUUGGCGACCAAACAUCAGAGGCCCAAUUAGUUACGAGACUGACUCAUUGGGGUUUCCCUUGGAGCAUUCUUGAGAUGUUCAGUGGCGUUCAGACUUGGUGUGCCAAAUCACCAGAUGAGAUUUAUCAGUCAGUUGUCCUGAAGAAAGAGAAACCGAUGUUCCUGUACAAUUUACCUACGGAGGUCGCUAAUGUCCUCUCUGGCUGCUAUGAGUUUCUCUACAUUAGCUUUGUGUAUUCAAAUUUUUUGUUCCUGACAAGAAGUGCAUUGCACAUGCACACUUAUAUGAACAAGCCUUACAUGAUUUGCUCUUUUACUGAUGGACUGAGGAGGUCAGAGAUGUAUAACAGCCGUAUUGAUCCAAAUGACAAGUUGGAGGUGACACAUGAACGCUGGCAACGCAAAAUAGCAGAUAUAAAAUAA
rnacentral:rRNA from 1 species